UGAUGAUGUUGCCCAAUUGCAGAGUCAGGUAACUGGGCCUGGGAGCAGCCCCUGGCAGGCACUGAGUGGAUCAAGGUAACAGCAGCAAGAAGGGGUGUGCAGGGUUUGCCUGCUGCUCCAGCGACAGCCAGCAUUGCCAUGUGACAGCCCAGUCAGAGGAGUUGGUGAUAUGGGCAGUGGGUGCCAUUAUCGGCAGGGUCUGGGAUACAAUCCCUCUGAGUGUACAUCAUGUGAAAAGCACGGGCAUCAGUGAUUUCCCUGACCCUUCAAUGCUAUGAAGUACCCACCAUAGAAACUGGGGUCUGCGGUCACCUGGAUCGAAAUCUGCCUCUGAAAUUGAACGGCUCCAUUCAAUCAAGUUCUGAAAAGAGGCAACUGAAGCAGAGACAGAGUCUACUUCAAGAACUUGCUCUGAUUACAGAAUCUGGUCAAUGGCUCUACCCAGAGCUCUUAAUAAAAGAUGCCAGAUUGAGGUCCAAGCUGAUGUUCUGCUGAUUUUUAUCCCAAAGUAAACAUCGCCAUGGUAAAUGGCAUUGUAAUGGACAGUUGCAGGUUAAGCUGAAUGUUUUUAAAGAAAAUUCUUCUUGGCUCUGUAGAAGAGCCAAAUAUUUGUUUACUUGUCCCUAAAAUUACACAUGCUGGCUGAAUAGGGUGGAUAAAAAUGGCUAGAGGCUUUCUAAUAGGUGUAAAAGUAAUAAGUGUAAAUUUUUGCCUCAAAUACUUCUUAGUAGUGUGGUCUGACUUAGUACUGUAGUCUGAAUUUUUGCCUCAAAUACUUCUUAGUACUGUAGGGCUUUCUCAGAUUUUGGUUGAGGAAUCACUGUGGUGCUUGUUAAAAUGCAGAUGACCGUAUCCCACCUCAUGUCUAUGCAAUGACUCUCUGGGAGUGGGAUUGAGAAUCUGUGUUUUAACGAGAACUCUACUGAUCAUUAAGAACAGCGAGCUUAGGGGGUGGGGGAGAUGGUCAAAGAAUACAACAUUUUCAGUUAGGUAGAAGGAAUAUGUUCAAGAGAUCUAUCAUAUGACAUGGUGACUAUAGUCAACAACAAUGUAUUGUGUUUUUGAAUAUUGUAAGAGAAUAGAUGUCCAGUGUUCUCACCAGAAAAAUAACUGUGUGAGGUAGUGCAUAUGUUAGUGAGUUAUAUUUAGUCGGUCUACAAUGUAUAUAUACC
rnacentral:lncRNA from 1 species